AAGUCGUAACAAGGUUUCCGUAGGUGAACCUGCGGAAGGAUCAUUAGAGAAGUGAGAGAUGUAUUAUUAUUUGGGCUGCGGCAUUCAUUUCUCUCACUGGGAAAAUGCAAUAAAGUGGCAGGUCACAGGGACUGUAAACCUAACUAGCUGCUGGUGGUGGUGGUGGUUUAACUCGUUAUACUACUACCAACCCAGGAUUUACUAAUGACCAAAAGCAAAACAAAACACGAGAACCUCGGCGCAAUGGAUCUCUCGGCUCUU
rnacentral:misc_RNA from 1 species